CUGGUCAGGAUGAACGCUAGCGACAGGCCUAACACAUGCAAGUCAGGGGCAGCACAAGGAGCAAUCUGAGGUGGCGACCGGCGCACGGGUGAGUAACACGUAUGCAACCUGCCUGUAAGCGGGGAAUAACCCGUUGAAAGACGGACUAAUACCGCAUAAUACUAAAUUACUGCAUGGUAAUUAUUUAAACAUUUAUGGCUUACAGAUGGGCAUGCGCAUGAUUAGCUAGUUGGAGAGGUAACGGCUCCCCAAGGCAACGAUCAUUAGGGGUUCUGAGAGGAAGGUCCCCCACACUGGUACUGAGACACGGACCAGACUCCUACGGGAGGCAGCAGUGAGGAAUAUUGGUCAAUGGACGAGAGUCUGAACCAGCCAAGUCGCGUGCAGGAAGAAUGUCCCUAUGGAUUGUAAACUGCUUUUGCAGGGGAAUAAAGUGCAUCACGUGUGAUGUUUUGUAUGUACUCUGCGAAUAAGGAUCGGCUAACUCCGUGCCAGCCGCCGC
rnacentral:rRNA from 1 species